UACGUAGGGUGCAAGCGUUGUCCGGAAUUAUUGGGCGUAAAGAGCUCGUAGGCGGUUUGUCGCGUCUGCUGUGAAAACUCGGGGCUUAACUCCGGGCCUGCAGUGGGUACGGGCAGACUAGAGUGCGGUAGGGGAGUGUGGAAUUCCCGGUGUAGCGGUGAAAUGCGCAGAUAUCGGGAGGAACACCAGCGGCGAAGGCGGCACUCUGGGCUGGAACUGACGCUGAGGAGCGAAAGCGUGGGUAGCAAACAGG
rnacentral:rRNA from 1 species